rnacentral:lncRNA from 10 species
AGGUGGCCCUGGGGCUGCUGCAGGAAAUGCGAGGAGAGGCUGACGGGAGGGGACGGGGAUGCUGAGUGGAAGGAGGCAGAGCUGCCCAAGGAGCCGGGGAUGUUCACGGGUGCAGAGCUCUGCAGCAAGCUGCCGCCUGCAAGAGAGGCCCGGGGAGGACGGGCUGGGUGAGGGCAGCGGAAGCCAGGCGGGCCACACAGAGCAAGGGGCCUGAGCCAGGCAGGAACCCGAGGAGUCCUCCAGGCUGCCCUGCCCACCCACACCCAGUACCGAUGGUGAUGCUUCCUGGGUGGGGCACUGUGCUGUUAUCGAAAGUCUUCUCCAGGGCGGCCACGCCAAACUCAUUCAGGUCCAGGUCAUCCAAAGCAGACUCUAGGGACAGAGAAGAGUGGGAUGUGACCUCCCGAGGGACUAUCUGACCCUGACCACCUCGUCUACUGCCCACGCUGCAUCUUCACGCCCAUGCUACGCUGGUGCCUGCCACAGGACCUGGCACAAAGCGGGCACCUAGAAAUGAGUACUGAAAGAAAGGAGCACCAACUUCUAGCACCAGGGAUUCUGAGAACGUCGUGCUGGCCAUUCACUACACAAGGACACCAGUGAGAUGAGUGGGGACUGAACAACACGUCUUGGGGUGAGACUGUACUCACCAAGGGGAAAAGGCACCUCUUUCUAAUUUGCACAAAGGAGCUCUAAGGGUCAGUCCUGGCCCUACACCUUGGGGUCAUUUCCCCUUUAGCUCAAAGGACUCAGAGUGCCCAUCCCCUGAUUUUCCGAAGACAGAUGUCUAAGGGGUCUGGUGUGCUGAUUUGAGACUCGCUUCAGAGACUGGGGGGUCUCUGACCCCAGACCCAGUCCUGGGCUUUCAAACAGAAAUGGCCUAGUUACCU